UCAGAAAAUAUUUAAUUGAAAAAUUUCUAUGUCCUGACACACUUUUUUAUUUAAAGCAUUAGCGCAAUUAUCUAUCAAAUUAAUUAUUUUUUUUUUGCUGAUAGUAAUAUUAGCUUAUAAGUAACAUGAGAACUUCAAAAUAGUUUAAUACAGGGCUUUAGGUGUCAUCAUUCCUAACCCUUUAAUGUUAUCAUAAUCAGGAAAAUUUUCAAUGAAUAUAAUUAUCCUGUAUUCAUGGUAAUAUAUAAAUGAAAUGAAAAUUAGACCUUUUUGAGGUUUUUUUGUACUUCAUCUGAUUUUUGUUCUUUCUCGACUUCUGAAUCUUAGCCAGGACAUGAAAAAAUGAAGGAUGUUUCCCAGACAGCUACCACUGUAUUCACACAUAAUUUCUUCUGCAGUUUCUCUCUGGUUUGUGUGUGUAUGCGUGUGCCUGUACAUUUAUUCCAUCUGUAACAUCCUGUUUCUCCAUCUGUCCGAAGACCUACAGACUUUGGCUGAUGUCUCUCUUCUGUGAACCAGGAUGGUAUUUGAUGGUGCUAUGGAAGAAGUAUAGGAAUAUGAUGGCCUGAAGAAAUUGAAAGGAGCUGACAGGAACUUUUCACACCAAAUUCAGUGUGAAGAAAGCAUGGCUGCCAAAAGAAAAAGGAGGAAAAAGGUGUGGAUGACAUCAGUGGGGGAAUAUAUGUAUCUCAUACUCCCUGAGGUUAGAAGAUUCACAGCCAAGCAGAAAACUCCCUGUAAGACAUCAUAAUCUCAUGAUAAGUCACCAAGUACAAGUCUUAUUCUUUAUCCAUAACAACAAAACAUCAACUACAGUGAUACCUUACGUACAUUUGUAUUUAGGAUAUUAAUAAUGCUGCUGCUCUUAUAUAAAAAAAUAUUAACGUUAAACUCUGAAAUCCUGACUACAGAAGGAAAACAAGCCAGACACCAAGGGGUAUAUAGGUGACUAAGCAGCAGUCUAGACUAGCCUCACUUUCAUGAGGACUGAAGCAAUAAUGCGUGUGAGAUUUCAAGACACGACAGUGCACAAGGCUGGGAAAUCCUGUCUAGUGCUUAAGAUCAUACUCAGAAGCCCCAAGUCAAUAAUAGUCUUGCUCUGCCCCUGCCAUACUAAAGUCAAUAUUCAGGUCUGCCCUGAAAUAUCUUCUCCAGCCAAACCACUUAGCCCAUAGAGAUUUUGGCUUACCUCUUGCCAGCUUGUUCACAUAUUAACGACUCGUUAAACUAUAAAUUAUAUAAGCAAUGUUUUCUGGUUCCUGACUUCAAGGAAUAGUUUCCUAAAGCAAAAUUAAUAUCUCCGUUUGCAAAGACUGAGGUCAACUGAUACAGUAUGAAAGACUGUGCUUUCAAGAGCACUUUAGUUCCAUUAAGUGAGAUACAGUAAUAGACUAGGAAAACCUUAUGAAUGAUUUUCCAGUUGCAUUCUUCUCACUGUCACAUUUUCUCUGUCAAACCUGUGAUUCUCAGAAGAGGUCUUUACUGACAAGAAUCAAGUCUCUGCAUUUUCUCUAUUUCAUUAGAGUCUCCAGUGAGCCAGUGAAACUGGCCACUUUAGUUUGUCAUCGUCUUGGAAACUAAUUUAAUACUACCCUAUGAAAUGACCCCUUACUAGAACGCACUGUAUAACUAGCAUCACACAUGGAUUUUCCAUCCCAGAUAUGGCAGGGAUCAUAUAAUGAUAGAGGAAAUAGCUAUAGAGUACUGUCGUCAUUCAGGGAGCAGGUUAUUUUAACUCACUCCAAAAAUACUUUGUCUCAAGAGCAUUUUCUUUCUCCUUGGAAAUGAGAGUCAUUUGUUUAAAAAGAAAUCAGUGAUACACACCCACUGUUCAUCAGUUGUCACCUCAUCAUAGGGCAAAAAUUAGUUUUACCUAUUCACACAGACUGGGUGGAGGGCAGACUGCAAGGACUUCAAAAAGCCAAAGGAAAGUAGAACAGAUAUGGUAUUAUGAGAAGAUAUAUAGGGCUACAAUUAUGCUCUGCUCUUUGGCUUGUGCAACAUGGAAAAGACUGCUGCAGUUUGAGGGAAGCAUGCUUGUAAUGGUUGUAAACAGCAAAUCAGGAAGGGAAACAUGCUCAAUUCAUCCCUACAUUUCUACAGACAUCUGUUCUUCCUGAUACUAGUUUGAAAUACUUUAAAAUUUCAUUUUAUUUUUCUGAGUACAGUGUUGAAAUGCUAAGUUCAUCUAGGAAGUUAUGCAAUUAAAUUGCUGAUACCACUAUGAUACCAGAAGAUAGCAGAGGGAUAGAACUGGAAUGAUGGAGACUGAAUAAAAUAACCACUGGCCUGAAUAUUUAAAAAGCUCUUUGAAAUUUGGCAUCCAUGUGAAGAUCGAGGGGUUUUUCGAUGUCCUAGGUACAGAUUAUUUUAACAUUUCAUGAUACUGAUAGUGUCAUCAAUAACAUACAUAUUAUUCAAUAAAAUAAUAGAAUAAAAUAAAAUGUGCUCUUAUAAUUUAACUUUCUGGACAAGCAUUCAAUAGAAUCUUGGAAACCUAUGAAGUGAGCAUAUAUAUCUGCCUUGCUUUCCUUCUUUUUUAUUUAUGAAGGAGACAGAGAGGCAAUAUUCCAUGCCAUUAUUCCUUCUCCUGAUGGAGCUUUAAAGUCUCAUAUCAUGGUCACUAUGCUUUGCAAAACAGGCGACUGUGUGUAUCUAAGGUCCUGUAAUAAUAACCCUGUACUGUUCCUAAAUAAACCUGAAAUAAAAAUAUGGAUACAUAUUUUCAAGUUUUGUGAACUCGCUGUGGCAUGCCAUUAUGGUUUGCAUAAGAUGAUGGUAUCAAAUGUCAAAUGAUAACUUUCGGGACUGUAGUACUUCUUCAGCAACUGAUUACAAAAGGAAGAGUAAUGGAUGCAAAUUAAGGUUGUCCUUAAUUUGACAAAUUAAGACCAAAGCAACAAGUACUGUUUGUUUUCAUACUUUAUAAAGGACAACAAAUCACAUUAUUCCAACAAAAAGCAGAUCUGCUGCACCUUUCCAUUCACUGCUACAUUAUGGAUACUCCAAAAGAUGUUACCUUACUGUAAAAACAAGUAUUUUAUUAAAUAAACAUUCCACACA